CCUACGGGAGACAGCAGUGGGGGAUAUUGCACAAUGGGGGAAACCCUGAUGCAGCGACGCCGCGUGGGUGAAGAAGCGCCUCGGCGCGUAAAGCCCUGUCAGCAGGGAAGAAAAUGACGGUACCUGACGAAGAAGCCACGGCAAACUACGGGCCAGCAGCCGCGGUAAUCCGUAGGGGGCAAGCGUUGUCCGGAUUUACUGGGUGAAACGGGGGCGCAGACGGCGAUGCAAGCCAGGAGUGAAAGCCCGGGGCCCAACCCCGGGACUGCUCUUGGAACUGCGUGCUAGAGUGCAGGAGGGGCAGGCGGAAUUCCUGGUGUAGCGGUGAAAUGCGUAGAUAUCAGGAGGAACUCCGGUGGCGAAGGCGGCCUGCUGGACUGCAACUGACGUUGAGGCCCGAAAGCGUGGGGAGCAAACAGGAUUAGAUACCCUAGUAGUC
rnacentral:rRNA from 1 species